rnacentral:rRNA from 1 species
UACGUAGGUGGCAAGCGUUAUCCGGAAUUAUUGGGCGUAAAGCGCGCGCAGGUGGUUUCUUAAGUCUGAUGUGAGAGCCCACGGCUCAACCGUGGAGGGUCAUUGGAAACUGGGAGACUUGAGUGCAGAAGAGGAAAGUGGAAUUCCAUGUGUAGCGGUGAAAUGCGUAGAUAUCUGGAGGAACACCGGUGGCGAAGGCGGCAUCCUGGACCAACACUGACACUGAUGAGCGAAAGCCAGGGGAGCAAACGGG